rnacentral:lncRNA from 1 species
GUUGUAUUUUACACUGCUAGAGUCUGUAUAGCCUGUGAAACUGGCGGUCUCUGUUUUGUUGGUUUUCCCGUGUUUUCUUUAUUUAAGAAAUUAAUAUGAUGAGCACGCAACCUGCUGCGCCUAGGUCCUCUCUCUCUCUCUCUCCUACGACAACUGUGACAGACCUAUAAACAGUCAGUUUUUUUACACUCAGCCUAAGAGCACUACAGAUAAAAUCAUUUUUUGGAAAGUGUACUACAUUGAUAACUUAAGUAGUUCCUUGUGUCCUCUAAUCACCUUCAUCUCAAAAUGUACAAAAGUCUGAAGGGGGACAAGCUCUUGAGCGCUGGCCAUCUAGAUCUGACGUCAAUCACAAGGGGCUCAUCUUCCACAAUCUCCUUUCUUCUUAAUGAGAAGGUAGUCUUCACUGCUGCAUCAACAGUUACCCAAUCAGGACUUAUUUUCUGAAUCUCUUCUUGAAUAUAAUCAUUUUUGAUAAAUGACUUCUCAAAUGAGAAAAGUACUGCUUAACAUUACAGGGCUCAGAAAUUACAGAUGUCACAUUUUAUACAAGCAGUAACUUUCUUUAACAUUUCGGUGUUGAGUCAAAUGCUUCGAUUGCUAUUUCUGUUUUAAAGGUGCACAGUCUUGAUGGAUACAUGGUACUGGACAGGUUAUUGCAUAAUGUCCAUGCUUCAAUUUGUAAUGUCUAAUAAGGAUGUGUUGAUUUGAUGUGUUAAGUCUGCAGUACUUACAGUUCCACUUCAUCCAUUGAAGCAAUAAUGCUU